AUAGCCAUAUCACGUUGAAACACCGGUUCCCGUACGAUCACUGAAGUUAAGCAACGUCGAGCCUGGUCAGUACCUAUAAAGGUGACCGCUUGGGAAUACCAGGUGUUGUG